CGAUGGGCAAAAAAAUGAUAGUGCAACUGCUUGCCUCCUCCUCAUAUUCCAUACUAGAAAACAACCUUUGCCCCUUUAUUUUCUUCAGUGGGUCACAGAAGCUAUCACAUCUCUUUCUGAACCUUUUUUCUCUGGAAUUUCUUUUCUGCUUGUGCGUCGGGUAAAAUAGUACCAGAAUGAGCUAGCCCCCCUGGU